rnacentral:rRNA from 1 species
GACGAACGCUGGCGGCGUGCUUAACACAUACAAGUCGAACGGAAAGGCCCUGCUUUUGUGGGGUGCUCGAGUGGCGAACGGGUGAGUAACACGUGCGUAACCUGCCCUUGACUUUGGGAUAACUUCAGGAAACUGGGGCUAAUACCGGAUAGGAGCUCCUGCUGCAUGGUGGGGGUUGGAAAGUUUCGGCGGUUGGGGAUGGACUCGCGGCUUAUCAGCUUGUUGGUGGGGUAGUGGCUUACCAAGGCUUUGACGGGUAGCCGGCCUGAGAGGGUGACCGGCCACAUUGGGACUGAGAUACGGCCCAGACUCCUACGGGAGGCAGCAGUGGGGAAUAUUGCACAAUGGGCGGAAGCCUGAUGCAGCAACGCCGCGUGCGGGAUGACGGCCUUCGGGUUGUAAACCGCUUUCGCCUGUGACGAAGCGUGAGUGACGGUAAUGGGUAAAGAAGCACCGGCUAACUACGUG